GGGAGAAGUACCACCAGUCCUUCGCCGAAAGAUGACGUUUGAAGGUAUAGAAGUGCCUAAACAGGGAGAGGGACGGUUGGAUCUCGACUACGUGGCAAAGGGAGAGAAACCCUAUCAAAAACCUAAAUGAAUUCGGAGCAACAGAAGCCAAGGAGAUGUCUAGGAAGCGGAAGAGGGCGACAACAAAGGACGAAAGUGGAAGCCGGAGUCCGGCACGGA
rnacentral:lncRNA from 1 species